rnacentral:rRNA from 1 species
AGCUGGUUACUUGAUAAAAGAAUCUUAGUUCUACCUAAAGCCCAAAUAAAGUUCUAUUAACUAACACUUAUGCUUUAGAGUUAUUCAAAUAAGGUACAGCCUAUUUGAAUAAGGAGACAACCUAAACUAAUGGGUAAGAUAUUUACAAUGUGCCAAAGUGGGCCUAAAAGCAGCCACCUUAAACAACAGCGUCAAAGCUUCUCUACACAAGUAUGUUCAAUUUUUCACCUCAGCUCAAACCCUUUAUUUUCAUCAAGUAAUUCUAUACACCUAUAGAACAUAAAAUGUUAAAACUAGUAACAAGAAGUAAACCCUUCUCUUAAAUGCGAGUGUAAGCCAGAAAGGAUAAACCACUGUCAACUAACACUAAUGAUUUUUAAUUAACAACACCACAAGAAAACCCUAAUAAAACAAAUGUUAAACUAACACAAGAGCAUUUCAAGAAAGAUUAAAAGAAAAAGAAGGAACUCGGCAAACACCAACCCCGCCUGUUUACCAAAAACAUCGCCUCUUGACUAAUAUAAGAGGUCCAGCCUGCCCAGUGACCUAGUUCAACGGCCGCGGUAUCCUAACCGUGCGAAGGUAGCGUAAUCACUUGUUCUUUAAAUGAGGACUAGUAUGAAUGGCAUCACGAGGGUUACACUGUCUCCUUUUUUUGAUCAGUGAAACUAAUCUCCCCGUGAAGAAGCGGGGAUAUUUUUAUAAGACGAGAAGACCCUAUGGAGCUUUAAACAAAUUAACACCUGCUGCUCAAAAUGACUUUUUCGGAAAUACAAAACAUAGCAUAGCAUGAUGAUUAAUAGUUUUUGAUUGGGGUGAUCACGGAGUAAAAAGUAACCUCCAUGCCGGAAGGGUUCUUCCCUGAGCAAAAAACCACAAUUUUAAGCACUAAAAAAUUAACGUUUAUUGACCCAAUAUUUUGAUCAACGAACCAAGUUACCCUAGGGAUAACAGCGCAAUCCACUUCAAGAGCUCAUAUCGACAAGUGGGUUUACGACCUCGAUGUUGGAUCAGGGUAUCCCAGUGGUGCAGCCGCUACUAACGGUUCGUUUGUUCAACGAUUAAAACCCU